ACCCUGACCCCAGCAGAAGCCAGCCCAUCAACCUGAACCAUUAUGCCACCAAGAAGAGCAUGGCAGAGAGCAUGCUGGAUGUGGCUCUCUUCAUGUCCAAUGCCAUGCGGCUGAAGACAGUGCUGGAGCAGGGGCCGUCCUCUCAAUACUAUGUUACCCUCAUCACCCUCAUCAGUAUCUCUCUGCUCCUGCAGGUCGUCAUUGGAAUCCUCCUGGUAGUCAUUGCACGGCUGAACCUCAAUGAGGUAGAAAAGCAGUGGCGACUAAACCAGCUCAACAAUGCUGCCACCAUCUUGGUCUUCAUCACUGUUGUCAUCAACAUCUUCAUUACAGCCUUCGGGGCACAUAAGACAGGGCUCCUGGCUGCCAGGAGCUCAAGGGACCCUCUCUGAACUCAGCUGGGACCCAGGUGGGGGAUGACAGGAGGCCCUCGGGCCCAAAGGCUUUUUCCCACCUCUGAGGGUUUGGGGUACUGGGCCUGGAGCUGCUUCCACCGCUUCCUCCCUGAUCUGCCAGGCUGAUGGGCACUUCCCACAGCUCCCAGGAGCGCCUGAAAAGGCAGCGUAGAUGCCUGCUUCCUACCCAUAGCACCUGAAUGAAGAGGGGCUGUUAUACUGGUCUAAGCGAAUUGCAUCUUGGUCUAGAGCCUUGAGCUCAGACUGGGGCAGUGCCAACCCUCCCUCCCGUAGCGCCUGCCCCUGAGGCAGUCUGCCUAGGGCCCAAUCCCACCAGCUUCGGGACUCCGGUUCUGACUACUCCAUUCCUUCCCUUUGUCCCAUCCAUUCCCAGGUAAGAUGGGAUAAUUUCUAUCUAUAAAAGUUUCUGCAACUCCACUGAAGUCAUUUUUUAUGUCUGUAGUUGCAUC